rnacentral:lncRNA from 1 species
UUCUGCACAUGUGUAGGGGGUGCCCAAAAACAAAGGACGCUGGAGAGCCGGUGCGGAAGGCAGUGCCGGAAGAGCCUGCGGCCCAAGGCCUUUUGGGGUGAACCACGGAGUGAGGGCAAGAUUGGGCCACCACUGAGCCCUAUGAAGAUCCUUGAACAAGGCAUGACUCUGUCGCUUGCGAUCCUAGCCAUGUUUACUCGGAACUUAAGUUACAAUGCAGAAAGCAAGCAAUACACUUGGAAGAUAGCUCCAGAUCAGUUCGCCAGGAUCCACUCAGAUACUAUUCAGCCUCUCCAAAGGAGCCAUAAACGAUCUGGGGCGUUGGUUGAAAAAUCAAACUGAGGAGAGACGCCAACAGAGCCAUCAGGAUGAAGAUGAGUCAACUUCGGUAAUUCUGUCUUUCUCCCUUCUCUUCGUCUAGGCCAGCACUUUCCGCGUAGCAAGCCCGUGUGGGGCGACAAUGAGUCAGGUCUCUAUCUGGCCCCCUCCAACAGCCCAGGGAUUUCUCCCCUCUUUAACCCCCCCCACCUCCCCCGUCCGCCUUUUCCCUCUGAUUUUGGCACAGGGUUCGGUUUCCCGUGAGACAGUGCAAGGCAGCGAACGGAAAAGAAGGGCCCCUCUUAAUCAGAUCAAUUUAAGGACAUAUUGAGGUCAUAUAACCGCGUACAUAAUCUCAAGUGCUCGGCCUAACAGGCGGCGGGGAUCCGGGCCCCCGUUUUAUUGUUGGUCGGCGCCUCCUGCGCGGCUCUAUUUUACAGGAUUCCUCCGGGCUAAAGUAAUAAAGCGGGUAAUUAGAAUGCUAAAGACA